rnacentral:rRNA from 1 species
CCUAUGGGGGGCAGCAGUAGGGAAUCUUCCACAAUGGACGCAAGUCUGAUGGAGCAACGCCGCGUGAGUGAAGAAGGGUUUCGGCUCGUAAAGCUCUGUUGUUGGUGAAGAAGGAUAGAGGUAGUAACUGGCCUUUAUUUGACGGUAAUCAACUAGAAAGUCACGGCUAACUACGUGCCAGCAGCCGCGGUAAUACGUAGGGGGCAAGCGUUAUCCGGAUUUAUUGGGCGUAAAGCGAGCGCAGGCGGUUCAAUAAGUCUGAUGUGAAAGCCUUCGGCUCAACCGGAGAAUUGCAUCAGAAACUGUUGAACUUGAGUGCAGAAGAGGAGAGUGGAAUUCCAUGUGUAGCGGUGGAAUGCGUAGAUAUAUGGAGGAACACCAGUGGCGAAGGCGGCUCUCUGGUCUGCAACUGACGCUGAGGCUCGAAAGCGUGGGGAGCAAACAGGAUUAGAUACCCCGGUAGUCC